rnacentral:rRNA from 1 species
AUGAGGGACGAGCCGCCAGCGACGGAUCCCGCGAGGCCAACCUCCAGCGCCCCUUCUCCGGCCGGCCUUGAACGACCUUGUCCCGCCGGAGCUAGGUGGGUCGAUGACCCGCUGGAUGGGAGCUGGCAUGUCCAGCCACCACCUCUGGUGCCCCGUCGCGCACCUGCCCGCCGCCAGGGGCCCGAGGGCCAAGUUGCGGGGUUGUGCGGUCGCGCUGGUCAUCCUCCGCUCCAGGAAGCAUCUUGCCGGGGUUGGGGUCAAUCCCGGGCAGGCCUGAGGAGGAGAGCGGGCGGCCUCCGUCAGUCCUCUCCGGUGAGGCCUUUGACAAGAGGGGCCAAGAUCGAUGCUACCAAGUGCCAUUUGCUUCAGUGCAUUUUGUUUGAUGAAUCUGUUCAUGAAGGAAUCUGCAGUCCUAACAAAGAAGAUGGAAAGAGUACUCCUGGAAAGUGA